CCGCCGGAAGUAAGCGGUUGGUGGUGGCGCCCCGACACCGAGAGCCUGCUCUCACCGCCUGCGCCCCUCCUCUUCUCACUUGGAGCCUGGGAAAAAAUGACCUCGGGACCAGAAUUCACACCUGAGGCGACUGAAAGCGGAAGCAGUCCUUUGGGAAGGUGCCGCCCUCGCAUGGGCAUGAGGAAAAUGGCCCAACGGCGGAGGAAAGAGCAGCCCCAUGGUGACAGGAGUCCAAGGGACCCAACCCUCCCGGAUCCGGGCGCCCAGCCAGCCCUAGGUGUGUCACCCUGGGCAAGUCUUUGGGGAUGCUUGCUACUUAGAGCAAAUUCCUCUUAAGACUGGGAAGAGCAGAACAGCCCGGAGGGACUGGGACAAGAGCUCAGAGUGUGAGAUUUUCACGUGGAAGGAGGGUCCACGCACAGCCCUGUGGAGAACGCUUGCUUGUACACAUCCCAGGGCACUUCGCGGGGUGCAGCUAACAUGCUUGGCUUUCUCCGUCCAUCUGCCACAAGGUCAUUCACUUGGGGUCUUCAGAUUCCCCUCGUCCUCAUUUGCAUGUUUGAUGAAUGAAAAAAAUACAUGGAAUGGUGCUUGCGCAGGAAAAGCCCCAGAUAAACGUUAGCUUAAAAAUUGUAUCAUGAUCUCACUUCAUGCUUCUACACAGGUCUGAUAAUGAUAGUUCUGUUGACCAUUUAUUCACAUCCCCCAGGAAACACCAGUAUAUUGAAAAGAGAUAGUUUUUGCAUUUAUUUUAAAUUCUGCAGCACCUUGCCAAACAUUCAAUAAAUAUUAAAUAUUCAAAUAGAUUGAUAACUAAAUUCUUUAUUCACCAAAAGCCAUUUUAAUUAUGUUCUGAGCAAGUAAGGUAUACUUUUUAGUUAAAAUCAGAAAUCAUUUGAGUCCAUAUAUCAGUAAACUGUCAUCCCAUCAAAAAAA